AAGAAUUAAUUAUUUAAAUUGGAGAUUUGAAAUACAAUUGUGAUAUACUUGAAUUCCGUUGUUAGAAAUCAUAUAUAUCUCUGUGUGAACUCAUCUCCCCACAGAUAUGCUUACUGCAAAUCACCAUAUAAAGAAACAAAAAUGAAUAUAGGGUUUCCUCGUACGAGUGAAUAACCAAAUUUCAAUAGAAAUGAAAUGUUAAAGAGAAAUUAAUGCAAUUGCAAAGGAAUCACAAAAAGUUGGAAAAUAGUACAUCAGUUUCACUUUUGUUGAUAAAGUAUAUAUGCACACAGACGAGACUUUUGUUAAAGGCAAGGAGCGAGGGAGACACAAUUAGAAAUUGGGUAGCACAACACAUUAAUUUCAAGUACAAAGGUGACGAAGGGUGCUAACUCAACAAUCCAACCGUGUACAUUAUACAUUAAAACAACUUUAAGUUUUUUGUUCUAAACCUAAAGAAAAUAACUAUAAAAAAAUGUUUACUCAAGAUAGGUCUAAUUAAUAGGUCAUCGUAGGUAUUUAUGAUAGAUACUAAUUGGUAAUCUAGUGCAAAUGUAAAUUAACAUGUCAACAUAGAUUAAAUUACGUUAAAAGUGUAAGAAAUGUGUAUACAUUGUUGAUAUAUAUAAAUUAAAACAGUUUCAAAAUCACCAAGGCAACGAAGUGCGGAAGGACCACUAUUGACCCCUGAUGAGAGGGAUUGGGUAGCUACAUGUAGUUUAACAAUUUAAAAAAAGAAGAGGAUUAAGGUUUAUAGAAAACAUUUAAACUAUAAUAAAACAGAAGAACAACAUUUAGUCAAUGAUUAAUAUCAUUUUGCUACUAAAUAUAACAUAUAAAAUAAGCAAAACACUACAUUGUUCAUUCCAGUAAACAUCAAACAAGAAAUGGCAAUUGUAAUUAGCACCAGUGGAGACAUCCAGGCAUACUAAUACAAAGAUCAAAAUAGGAUAGAAAGGUCAUUAAACAAAUAUCAAAGUCAGAGAUAUCAAUGCUUCAUUAUUUCGAUCCAUUGAAUCUGAGUUCAGAUUAGUCAUACACAUUAGCUUUGACUUACUGAAACUUCAAGAAUACCCGAUAAGUUAAUAAGUCACACCAAUUAUUUUGUGCAUAUGCAUACAUAGUGAAGAACAUAAGUUUGCAGAUCUACUUCUUGUUGAUUAUAAUAAACAUGAGAUUAUUUACUGAUUUUGUAAUUUAAUUUAAUAGAGCUUCAAUCAAACAUGGGUUAGUGCAAGUCCUUUUCUUUUGUGCAUAUGUAUACGUUGCAAUUUUGUUUGCUUAAUCUCUUGUUCUCGUUCAAAUUGUUAGUGUUUCAUCACACUGUUUGUUAGAGUGAAUCAAAAUCGAUAAUUAAUUCACAAAAGAAGUAAAAAUAAAGAAAAAGAUUGUCACUAAGAGAAAUUAAUAAUCUAAGACAAAAUUUUACAUCAUCUAGGUUGAACUUUGAAAAAAUAAUAUACUACAACAUAGUAUUCCAUAACUUAUGUUACAUGUAAAUAGUGACAACAUAAAAAGGAGGAAAUGUUUAUAGGGCUACCUACAAUACAAGCAAAUAUGAUUAGGGAUUCAUAAAAAGGGUUGUUUUGGCAUCCUAUGUAGACAGUUGCAGAACACCAACACAUCAACAACAACAACAUACCCACUAUAGUCCCAAAAGGAUAGUCUAAAACGUGUAAACAUUCUGUUUUUCAAAGACCCCUCCAUAGAAGAGUAUAUCAACAUAAAAUUUCAUUCUCUAGUGACUUACAUCGGUAAAAAAAGGUUCAUUCCCCAGGGAAUCUAAAUCAUCAGGUGAACUAGAGUAUUUGUAAAACUUCCCACUAUUACAGUAAGCUAUAUAUCACAGCUACAAUGGCAUCAAAAUAAUACCAUGGCUGUUGUAUUAGAUUAUUUUUUACAAACUCGGAACUUGAGAUUAAAGCGAGCCAUGAUUUUGAAACAAACCUGAAUUACAACAAGGCCAUCAUAGAAGUACCUCCAUGUUGAUGUCUUCAGGAAGUUGUUUUCUCAUCUUUGAAGCUCUAGUUUCCACCACUGAAUUUGAGGUGGAUAUUGU
rnacentral:lncRNA from 1 species